CGUGGAGGAUGAAGGUCUUUGGAUUGUAAACUCCUGUCAGCAGGGAAAAAGCGAUAGGCGCUCAUACCGCCUAAAGUUGAUUGUACCUGCAGAGGAAGCCCCGGCUAACUCUAUGCCAGCAGCCGCGGUAAUACAGAGGGGGCAAGCGUUAUUCGGAAUUAUUGGGCGUAAAGGGCGCGUAGGCGGCCUGGCAAGUGGAAGGUGAAAUCCCUCGGCUUAACCGAGGAACUGCCUUCCAGACUGCUUGGCUUGAGACCGGGAGAGGUGAGUGGAAUUCCCAGUGUAGCGGUGAAAUGCGUAGAUAUUGGGAGGAACACCAGUGGCGAAGGCGGCUCACUGGACCGGUACUGACGCUGAGGCGCGAAAGCGUGGGGAGCAAACGGGAUUAGAUACCCCGGUAGUCCACGCCGUAAACGAUGAGUGCUUGGUGUAGCGGGUAUCGACCCCUGCUGUGCCGAAGUCAACACAUUAAGCACUCCGCCUGGGGAGUACGGUCGCAAGGCUG
rnacentral:rRNA from 1 species